AGCUGAAGGAGAGGGAGAGAGGAGGCUGGUAUGCUAAAGGAAAAAACAGAGAGCCUAGGAUCUCCGUCUCCGUCUCCCAAAGAGUCUGCACUUUUCUUUGUUGUUCCACAUUUGCUUGUUUUGCUGCUUACUUUGUUUGCUGUGAUGACAAAUUUCCAUGUGUACAACAAAUGGACUGAAAAUUGGACCUAAGAGCUGACUGACCUUUAUGAAGAUGCUGGCUCCUGGGUCUACCUCAGUGAAUGGCAACCCACUACAAGGAGUCAGUCAUCUAAAUAUAGAUUUUUGGACCAUCCAUUUCAUCACGGCAUUUCAUCGAAAGCCUAGAAUUUCAUUUAUUUUCAGUUACAGAGAUAAAGUGUUUGUAAACGAUGUGAUAAGACCAUAAAGAAAAGUGAAGUGAAAUUCAGCUCCAUCCAAAGAUGAUAAAUACAACACCUACUUUGAACACCGGGAUUAUUGCAGGAGAAAAAUGAGAUAUCGGAAGUCAGCAGCUAUGCUUAAGAUAAGAACUUUUUUUUUUCCUGUGGAUUUUUCAUUAAAUUCAUGGCCCAAUAAAGAAUUAUCUGAAUGAUUCUAUUUUUUAAAAAAUAACUGUUAUAGACAUUAAGACAAAAACAUAUGGAAAACAACCAAAACUAAAGGAGAGUCAAAAUCAUUUGAACUCUAGCUCUUCUGUUGUGGGAUUGUUAAGGGUUGAUUCUCAAUUACUGAAAGCAUGGCAGCAUUUCACAUGAAUUAAAACAGAGAAGUAUAAUCUUCAAACAGUGAUUCAAGAUAUCCAAACCAGAAUUCUUUUAGCAAAAUUCUCUGAUCUUGCCUUAUAGGGUCUUUCUGUGGGGGUCCUGAAAAAUCAUUUUAAAACCUUCCUAGGGCCAGUCCACUGUUGCAUACUAUUAUGGGCAUUCCAGCAAGAUAUAGUAUCACUAUUUAAUUCUAGCCUCAUCUUUUCAUGAGUUCAGUCUGGCAGGAUUCAUUUUCUCUCUUACGUGCGCCUAUUAUGUCUUAUAGGCAAAGUGGCUGCUUCUCUCCAGGCCACUGCAUUCAUCCCAAUUUUAAUUAUUGUUCUUACUUUUGUGAGGCAAAUCUAAAUUAUGAGUAAUAUAAUGAGAAUGUACUUGUUUAACUCCUACAGGAACUGUUAUGUGCAUAGGCAUAGAAAGGGAUAUUUUCUUUUUAUGUACCAGGAUAAUAAAGUUUGCUCAUUUUUACAUUUUUUCCUAAUACAA